CCUACGGGAGGCUGCAGUAGGGAAUCUUCCGCAAUGGACGAAAGUCUGACGGAGCAACGCCGCGUGAGUGAUGAAGGUUUUCAGAUCGUAAAGCUCUGUUGUUAGGGAAGAACAAGUGCGAGAGUAACUGCUCGCACCUUGACGGUACCUAACCAGAAAGCCACGGCUAACUACGUGCCAGCAGCCGCGGUAAUACGUAGGUGGCAAGCGUUGUCCGGAAUUAUUGGGCGUAAAGGGCUCGCAGGCGGUUUCUUAAGUCUGAUGUGAAAGCCCCCGGCUCAACCGGGGAGGGUCAUUGGAAACUGGGAAACUUGAGUGCAGAAGAGGAGAGUGGAAUUCCACGUGUAGCGGUGAAAUGCGUAGAGAUGUGGAGGAACACCAGUGGCGAAGGCGACUCUCUGGUCUGUAACUGACGCUGAGGAGCGAAAGCGUGGGGAGCGAACAGGAUUAGAUACCCGGUAGUC
rnacentral:rRNA from 1 species